CCUACGGGAGGCAGCAGUGAGGAAUAUUGGUCAAUGGGCGGAAGCCUGAACCAGCCAAGUCGCGUGAGGGAAUAAGGCCCUGCGGGUCGUAAACCUCUUUUGCCGGGGAGCAGAGGUCCGGACGUGUCCGGGCCGGGAGAGUACCCGGAGAAAAAGCAUCGGCUAACUCCGUGCCAGCAGCCGCGGUAAUACGGAGGAUGCGAGCGUUAUCCGGAUUUAUUGGGUUUAAAGGGUGCGUAGGCGGCCUUUUAAGUCAGCGGUGAACGUCUGUGGCUCAACCAUAGAAUUGCCGUUGAAACUGGGAGGCUUGAGUAUGUUUGAGGCAGGCGGAAUGCGUGGUGUAGCGGUGAAAUGCUUAGAUAUCACGCAGAACCCCGAUUGCGAAGGCAGCCUGCCAAGCCAUGACUGACGCUGAUGCACGAAAGCGUGGGGAUCAAACAGGAUUAGAUACCCCAGUAGUC
rnacentral:rRNA from 1 species